AACGAACGCUGGCGGCAGGCCUAACACAUGCAAGUCGAGCGAGCAUUUCGGUGCUAGCGGCGGACGGGUGAGUAACGCGUGGGAACGUGCCCUUUUCUGCGGAAUAGUCCUGGGAAACUGGGGGUAAUACCGCAUACGCCCUUUUGGGGAAAGAUUUAUCGGAGAAGGAUCGGCCCGCGUUGGAUUAGGUAGUUGGUGGGGUAAUGGCCCACCAAGCCGACGAUCCAUAGCUGGUUUGAGAGGAUGAUCAGCCACACUGGGACUGAGACACGGCCCAGACUCCUACGGGAGGCAGCAGUGGGGAAUCUUAGACAAUGGGGGCAACCCUGAUCUAGCCAUGCCGCGUGAGUGAUGAAGGCCGUAGGGUUGUAAAGCUCUUUCAGCUGGGAAGAUAAUGACGGUACCAGCAGAAGAAGCCCCGGCUAACUCCGUG
rnacentral:rRNA from 1 species